GAUAAUUUGGUUAAUUGUUGUUGUUAAGUUAUUUGUAUUUAUGGAGUUAGAAGCAUCUUUUUACUUAGUGUUGUUGAGCGAAAUGUUAAAAUUAAAGUGAGUUAAGUACUGAUAGGGAAAGGUUGUGUGAGUUGAUAAAAGUAAAGAUUAAAUUUUGUACCUUUUGUAUAAUGGUUUAUCUAGGGUUAGGUAAGUAUUUUGUUUCCCGAAAUUAAGUGAUCUACUUGUGGACUGUUUUGGCUUCAGUGUUACAGAACUGUGUCUAGAUUUACUAGUAGUGGUGAAAUUCCUGUCGCACUUGGUGAUAGCUGGUUGACCAGGAAAGAUAUAGAAGUAUUGGGCCUAUGUAUUUAUUUAGAUAAGUUGAUUUAUUUGUAAUAAUUAUUAGGUGCUUGUACUAGGAGGGAUAAGCUUUCUAGUUGUUUUAAGGGGAUGAUUGUUUGAUGUUCUUAAUUUGUGGGCUUAGGAUUGGCCAUCAUUAAAUGGAAGUUUGUUAUAAAUUAUUAUGGUUGAAGUUCUCAAAUUAUUAUGAUUUCCUUUUUAGGGACUGGUUUUCUAGGAUGUAAUUAUAGUUGUCUUAGUUGUUUCUGUUAAAAUGAGUAUUUUUUUAUGGAAUGAUUUUACUUAGUCUUGGGAAUUAAAUUGAUGAAAAAAGUUAAAUGAGGUAUUCGAAAUGUGAGUAAGGAAUUCGGCAAAAGUUUAUUUCGCCUGUUUAUCAAAAACAUGUCUCUUCGUUAUUGUUAUAUGGGGAGUCUGGCCUGCCCGGUGACUAAUUGGUUUAACGGCCGCGGUACUCUGACCGUGCAAAGGUAGCAUAAUCAUUUGCCUCUUAAUUGGGGGCUGGAAUGAAUGGCUCGACGAAAAUAUAUCUGUCUCUCUCAUAUUUUAUAGAAAUUAAUUUUUAGGUGAAAAAGCCUGAAUUUAACUGAAAGACAAGAAGACCCUGUUGAGCUUGAAUAUUAUUUAGUGGGGUAGUUCGUAAUUUAUUAUAGGUUUUAUCCUUAGAUUGUUUUUGGUUGGGGUGACCGAGGAACAGAAAAAAUUUCCUUGAUUAUGAUUAGGAAUUUCAUUUUUAGAUCCGUUAUUUAGCGAUUAAUGGAAAUAGUUACCACAGGGAUAACAGCGUGAUCUUUCUUGAGAGUUCUUAUCGAAAGAAGGGGUUGCGACCUCGAUGUUGGACUAGGAUUAUCUAGGAGGUGUAGAAGCUUCUUGGGUUGGUCUGUUCGACCAUUAAAAUCCUACAUGAUCUGAGUUCAGACCGGCGUGAGCCAGGUCGGUUUCUAUCUUUAGUUUAGGAAUGUGCUUUGGCUAGUACGAAAGGACCGCUUUAGGCUAAAUAAUUUGAUGAAAUUGUGAAGAUAAAUAAUUUUAGGUUAAGUUUUAUUU
rnacentral:rRNA from 1 species